UAUUUCAGACUGAAAGUGAUGGUUUCUCUUCGUGAGCUUGAAAAAGAAGAAUAUGUUGAGAUCCCAGACAUAAUUUAAGACAUAUAAAAAAUAUGUUGCUUUGAAUAAUAAUGUGUGUCAAAUCUGUUUUUUUCCACAAACAAAAGUACAAUUAGAACUAGAAGAGUGCACUCAGUAGGGUGCAGAUCUCCACCAGGUGUGUCUGGGGAUAUGUAUAGUUUCACUUUUCUUUAAGAUGCAUAGAAUAGUGUAAUGGUAUUGUAACCAAGGGUCCUGGGUUCGCCUAACUGUAUAAACUUAAUAAGGUAACAAUAAACAGGACGAUAAGUCCAAACUUCUCCAUUUAAACAUUGUUGUAACACACCACACAAAAUAACCCCUCCCAAACAAAAAAUUGAAAAAAGAAAAGAGUUGAGUUGAAUCUCACUCAACUGUCACUCCAAGCUCCUUUACAGUCAAGAUGGCAGCGAAGCUAAUAAAAAUGGUUAUUUAUUCAUCAAAUAUCGUGCCUCACUUUAGUGGAUCAUAUGGCUGUCAGUCUUUUAGCCUUGACAAAGGCCAAAAUGUGGCCUGUAACAGACUAGCGAAGCCUUGUUUUUAGCCAAUUGCAGGAAAUGUCUUUUGCUGUAGUUGUUGAUCACUUGCGGCCUCUACCAGCCAGUUAAGAGAAGUGAGGAGUCAGCAGUUAAUGGCGGUAUAAAACGUGAUAUUAAAAUAGGUUUUUCAACUAUUGUGAAUCACUGCAACCACAGGUACUUGAGCAUACAGUCAUAAAUGUGUAAAAAAAAAUAUUAGGCUGAUGGGUUCAGUAGUGUAUGAGAUUGGCAGCAGACAGACACACAUAUGGACACACACAACCAAACACAUGAUCUCCUCCAGGCUUACACCUGGCAGAGAUAAUUAAUGGGUUUGCUCACCUACAAAACAAAAAAAACAACAACAUAUUGCGUCUAGUGGUGUCGCUCCGUGCAGAUAGUUUUGGUCUUUGUUUGUCCAGGUUUUCAGAUGUCUGUCUCAGAGAUUUCUGCCUCCAAUCCAUAUGACAGAGGUGAAUGGAAUUUAGUUUGUGUGUCAUCCUCAAAGCAUUAAAAAAUAACAAUAACUGAAACAUUGCCUCUGUUAAGUUGAAUAUAUCAAAUGUCAUUUUUCAAUGACAAACCUGAACAAAUGAAACCAAAAGUAUCCACACCAAUAGAUACCACAAGAGGUAUGUCAGAAAAUAUGUUUUUGUUAUUUUGGUGAAUUGACCCGUUAAAAAUUUAGUGACAGCAAAAUGCUAACAGUUAUGCUGUUGUUCUCCAUCCUCAUUCUAGACAAUGAGGUCCAUCUGAGGGGGCUUGGCCAGUCUUGUAUGAAGAGGAUGCCACAGCGCCCCCUGUGGAUGCUGCAGUGCCACUGUCCUGCCCCCACCACACACUUCUCUCCCCAGAUGAUGGAAGGAGAGCCCUUCACCUCUGCUCUCUCCUCUCUGCUGCACUCUGCCGGGGGACACUUUAUCGCCCUGUCCUCUUCCUCCUCCUCCUCCUCCUCCUCGUCUUCCUCCUCUGCCUCAUCAGAUUCAGCUAUUGCUGCCAUGUCCCUGGAGCAGAAGACCACUUUUGCCUUGGUCAUAUUUCUCUUUGUUUUCCUCCUCAUCCUCAUCGUGCGAUGCUUCCGUAUCCUGCUGGACCCCUACCGGAGUAUGCCUACCUCCACUUGGGCCGAUGGCCUCGAUGGUCUGGAGAAGGGCCAGUUCGACUACACUCUGGCCUAGGGUUCAACACAAAAUGCACACAAGCACACUAGUGUGUAUUCACACAUGCCCAGUUGCAUUGUACUGUGUUACUUUGUUUGCCUUGAGCCAAUGGAGGCACUGAGAGGCAGAAAACCAGUCCAUCUCAUGCUGCCUCGCUGAAUCUCCAUCAGUACCCUUUCAUGGUGGUGCAUUUGCAUUAUUGGUGGUCCUGUUGUACUGAAACACUGCUGAUGAUUCGCUGAUACUGUAACCUCCAUGAUCCAUGCUUCCAGUUUGUAACAAUGACCAAGGC